UUAAUCUGGAUCCGGAGAAUAAAUGUUCGGAUUGCGUGUUGUGGGAGGCGCUGGAGAUCGCUCAGCUCAAACACGUGGUGAAGGCGCUUCCUGGCGGUCUGGACGCCUCAGUCACAGAAGGGGGGGAGAAUUUCAGCGUCGGGCAGCGGCAGCUCUUCUGUUUGGCUCGAGCGUUCGU